UGUCAAGAUGGAUCUCCAUAACAGGUGAUGAAUAGUUUUAUUUGGGGGAUAUAUUAACUUUUACUAUUGAGGGAAAGUUUUAGAUUGGUUUGCCACUUUGUACCCUAUCAAGUUGAGGCUAAUAGAUAUACAUUCACAACCCUGUACCCAUCAGAUAAUCAACUUUAUGUGUGACUUUGGGACUGAUUCAUACAACCACAUUUCCUUUCUCCACUCUAUAGCAGCCUUUUCUCUGUAUUUGAAAAAAUAACCAAGAAGGAGAAGAUAAGGAACCAGGAAUAAGGUCUGGAUAAGUAUGGUGAGGACCUAAGCUUUACAAGUGAGGGGGCUAGGAAGAUGGCUUUGUGGUCCAGCAUAGGAAUGAUGGGUGCUUCAUAUUAUUGAAUACCUGUUCCACAAAGAAGACUUUGAGCUCUUUGCUCUCCUACUUUCAAGGCUCACCAGGUUCUGGGAGAUGGAGGGUCUGGUAUGCUUUCUAGUGACAACGUAUCAGCCAGCUGCUUCUCCUGCUCAGCCUGCUCCUCCUCUCCCAUGAUUUCCCAACUUUCCCCCUCAUCUGCCUCUGAACUGUGACCUUCCGCAAACCCCUGCUGUAAAUCUAUACUGUCUUCCUCUUCCUCCUCCUUGGAAGGAUAAGGAUGGGAAGGCAGUCUCCACCACUCUUCCUCCUCUGCCCUGCCCCUGACAGCAUGUGUACUUCUUUAUGUAAAUCUACCAUAUAAUAAUAAUAAAAAUCAGGAUUAAGGUGUUUUCUCCGGACAGUGGAAGGCAUGUGUACUGUGUCCCAUUAAUGAAGUGCUGGUGGUGUGGGGAACAUAAAGUGGGGGGUUGAAGAGUGUCAGUUGAGGGGAAUGACAAAUGUCCCUAUUUUUAUGUCUUGGAGGGUAGCACAUAUUUACUCACUAAACAAAUUCAAAAAUGCUUAUGUGGAAGUAAAUUUAGUGGUAAGGUAAAGGACCCCUGAUGGUUAAGUCCAGUCAAAUUUGACUAUGGGAUGUGACACUCAUCUCUGUUUUCAGGAUGAGGGAGCUGGUGUUUGUCCGCAGACGGCUUUCCGUGAUGGAAACCAGAGUGCACGGAAACACAGUUUACCUUCCCAUCGCAGUGGUACAUAUUUAUCUACUUGCACUGGUAUGCUUUCAAACUGUUAGGUUGGCAGGAGCUGAGACAGAACAAUGGGAGCUCACCCCAUCAUGGGGAUUCAAACCGCUGACCUUCUGAUCAGCAAGCCCAAGAGGCUCAGUGGUUUAGACCACAGCGCCACCGGCUCCCAUGUUCCUCAAAGUAAGCUCCAUCGAGAAUGGUGGCACUUACUUCACAUUAAAUAUAUACAGGAUUAGGUUGGUCAGUAGCAGUGCAAUGCUGUAACUGCCUACUCGGUGAUCCUGGGCUAUUUAUUUCCAGGCCUGAUGUUUCCCACUCUUCUUGGAGUAGGGGGAAAUAAAGCCAUCAUAGUGAUUGGGCAAAUAUGACUGCCCUGAACUGCUGGGAUUUAGAACAAAACUGCCAAUCAGCUUUCAGAAGAAGUAGCUUGUUUUUGCCAGUAUCCCAAGGGCAUUGCUGCAGCUGUUAGUUGCAUCCCUCUGCUGAUCCCAUGGCUUCUCCAAGGAGUCUUUCUUCUCCCAGCUGUAAAGAGUGAGAGAAAAAUCUCAAGGCAUCAUUUCCUGCCGGAUAAAAUAGUAAUUUACAAAGGAGAAUCGGAAGGCACCUGAAGAGCGAUUGAUAGAGAAAAUUAUUUAUCACAGCCUUAGAAUAUGUCUGAAGUCUCUGCCUGAUUCCCCAAGCAUCUGAAAAUAUUAGUCUGGCACUUGAGGUUCCUCAUCCUUUGACAGCUCAGUGUCUGUUUAUGCAUAAUAAGUCUUCCUUGUGCUGUAUGUUCACCUUAAGUAGGGAGAAAACUCGAUCCAGGCAUGCAUCAUGAUUUGCUUCACCAGGGACAUCAUCUUCUUCUUUUUUAACAGUCACAUUUAUUUAAUGUGUGUGAGUCAGAGACUCACAGUGUAACUGUGCAGAAUGAAAGUCCUAUUCCCAUAUCUCCUAUAGGUGCCUAUAAAAGUAUAGAGAUCAUAUACUGUACGAGAAUUUCCCCCAUCUGGUUCAGUACUGAAAAAAAUAAAUGGGAGGAAAGAAAAGUAGAUAACUCAUGGACCAAUUAAUAGAAAUGUGCCCCCCCCCCCGGUGUUAUCAAAGAUACAGCAGUGAACAUUAUAUAGCAAAAUCGGAUACAAUGCAAAAUAUAUGCUGAGAAAGCAAUGCAAAAUAGAUUGAAGGCUAUGUACAUGUGCACCACACUCAAAGCAUUUGCAAGGCGUACUAGAAGCUCAAAUAUAUCUGACUUACCUACCUGCCAGCAUGCCCAGUGGUCAGGGGUGAUGGGACUCAUAGGCCAGCAAUACCUAGAGAGCUACAGGUAAGCCACCCCUGAUUUAGUAGUUGUGCAUACACUUUGCAUGCAGGGAGUUUCUGGUAUGUGUCGGAAAGGAUCUGUAAUGGUGUAUGGGCAAUCUAUCCAGAAGAUAAAUUUUAUUUUGAAGAGUUAGUGAUCUGACAUGGUUGCCCUCUUCCUGCUUUUCUUCCUGCCCCCUCUCCUUGUCUCUUAAGUUCUUUGAUGGCAUGAGAACAGCCUAUAAUGUCCUAAUCAGUUAGGAGGAAGUAAUAGUGGUGAGUACCUUAUUCUAUGUUGGACAUUAUUUCGAGAAAGUGAGGCAUUGGGAGGGGGUGGCUAAUGAAUAAUCUGCAUGCAGCCAGUAAUGAAGGAUCUGCAAGUAGCCAGUUGGAUAAGCCACACAAGCUAGCUAGCUAUAAAUCAGAUGGUUUGGGGCAGAAUUGGGAGAAGCUUGUGCACGGGCUGAUGGCUGCGGGGCCGUGCAAACUUAGGCUACCUGGAGGAGUCACUUUGCCACUUCUUGAGGGCUUCCAAAUAAUAAAAAAUAAAUUUUAUUUAUACCCCACCCUCCCCAGCCAAGGCCAGGUUCAGGGCGGCUAACAACCAAUAAUAAAAAAAGUUGAAUGAAUACAACUUAAAAACAAGAUUAAAAUACAACAUUAAAACAUUAAAACAUUAGAAUGCAGCUUCAUCACAGGAGGAGAAAGGAAAAAAAGAAAGAGGGGGAGGGAAUCAAAUUGACUCCAAGCCAAAGGCCAGGUGGAAAUUAGAUCACUGGGGGAGGAAGGUGGUUGCGGAGGGUGCAGUGCACACCAGGUGUCAGCCGUGAGGGUGGGUGACAUUGCUGCACCACCCCCUGCUUGCUGCAUGGGUGGCAACCCCGGACGCUCAUCGCUUUGAUUAUGAGAGCAAAAAAUAAACAUCCAGUAGUCUAGAUAGAAAGAACUGGGUAGUCAGGCUGAUGUUUACUUGGUUGCAGAGGUUUACUGGCCAUUGCUGUUGGCAUGGAGAUAGUCUAGGUUGAAUGCAAACAGGCCAUUCUGAUGUCAUGUGUGAUGUCACAAAGAGGAUCUGCUUUAAGUCUUGGUAAAACCAGAAACAGUUAACAGACUGCAGCUCAGUAUUGUCAAGAUGGAUCUCCAUAACAGUUGAUGAAUAGUUUUAUUUGGGGGAUAUAUUAACUUUUACUAUUGAGGGAAAGUUUUAGAUUGGUUUGCCAGUUUGUACCCCAUCAGGUUGAGGCCAAUAGAUAUACAUUCACAACCCUGUACCCAUCAAAUAAUCAACUUUAUGUGUGACUUUGGGACUGAUUCAUACAGCCACAUUUCCUUUCCCCACUCUAUAGCAGCCUUUUCUCUGUAUUUGAAAAAAUAACCAAGAAGGAGAAGAUAAGGAACCAGGAUUAGGAUUUGGAUGAGUAGCAGCUAAGCUUUACAGGUGAGGGGGCUAGGAAGAGGGCUUUGUGGUCCAGCAUAGGAAUGAUGGGUGCUUCAUAUUAUUGAAUUCCUGUUCCACAAAGAAGACUUAGAGCUCAUUGCUCUCCAACUUUCAAGGCUCGCCAGGUUCUGGGAGAUGGAGGGUCUGGUAUGCUUUCUAGUGACAACGGGCGACAGGCCGCUAGGAACGAUGCUGCCACGAGUUUCUGGCGGUGCCCUCCCCCCCCCGGCCGUUCAUUAGGUGGGCGGGUAGCAGCGCCCCUCCUGGCGCUCAUCAUGCAAGCAGCAGGCGUCUAGCCCCAGCCCACGGGCCGGCUAGCCCCACCCCUGUGCCGCUCUGGGUGCUGGGGCAGGUAUCUCUGCCCUUGUCCAAAUGGCAGAUUGAAGUGCUUGCUUGGUAUGUAUAUAAUGGUUUGCUGCUUAGAAUAACAUCUUUAAUCUUCUCACUCACUUGUGUUUUAUAUUACUUCUGAAUCUCUUUUUAAAAGAACCACCUUGCAUUUGGCAAGACAAAGGGUAUGCUAAGGAAGACCUCCGUCUGUGGCUUUGGACAACCAUCUGCCCGAUUUCAUUUCAUUGAUUUCAUUGAUUCAGCCAGCGUGGUGUAAUAGUAAAGAGCGGUGGACUUGUAAUCUGGUGAACCGGGUUUGAUUCUCUGCUCCUCCACAUGCAGCUGCUGGGUGACCUUGGGCAAGUCAUACUUCUUCUGAAGUCUCUUAGCCUCACUCACCUCACAGGGUGUUUGUUGUGGGGGAGGAAGGGAAAGGAGAUUGUUAGCUGCAUGGAUCUGCCUCUAGGUUUGUGGCUUAGCUGUUCUCUUUCAGAGAUACCAUUUGAUUUAUUUGGUCAAUGUGGUCCCAGUUUUAAGCAGCCAUGGCCAUGCACUUCAUUGCAAUGUCACUGGGACAAUCACAUGUGGCCUUUACCUGUAAGGUCGACGCUCAUGCAGAGAAGCAUCUCUGCAGCAGUGCUGCCAAAGAGCAAACUUGGUGGUAGUCUUGUGUGAUUCCAGCCGCUUGCAAAUGAGCUGCCAACUAGUUUCAACUGGCCCUCCGGCUAUUUUAAUGACAUCCAGCCAAGCAUUUUAAGAUUUCCACACAGUGGCAGCAAUUAGCAGUGACUCCAAAUUGAUAAUGGAUGGUUUCAAACAUGCACUCCCUAAUAAUAAAUAAUAACAUUUUGCCUUCUUGUGUGCUUUACAUUUCUCUCCUCAUGCCCAACGUUCCCUUUGUGCAUGUGAUAAUUUAUUGCAUAUUUCAAAACAUUCAAAUUUCAUCUCUCUUGAAAUCAGUCCCAGAGCAAUAAUAAAAAAAAAAAGGUUCCAUUUUUAUGCGUAAAAUACAUGCAGCAAUGAAAGGCAUGUUAUGAAUCCAGGAGGUUGGAAACCAGGAGAUAAUGAGAUCUUGGGUAGAAACAACAAGAGCUAAAGGGGAUCCGUGCAUCUAGGAGUAAUGAAAUUAAUCGUAUUGCACAGAAACUUGGAGAAAAUUGCCACAAACAGAUCCAAGAGACAUUGACUUUAAGCAGAGAGGUCUCAAACUUUGUUGCAGCAAGAUGCUUUAAGAGGGGGAAAUGCACUUUUUCCUAAGCCAAUUGUAAAUAAAGGAAGACAAGAAAAAGCAACAACGAUUUCUUUUGGCAGAUGGGAAUCUAUUACCAGGAAUAGAGCCAGACCAAUAAAGCUCCAAAAUGAUGGGCCAAAACAAAAUGAUCAGCCAGGACCAGAAGGAUGGUCGCCAAAAUGCCCGGAGUAACAACUGAAUGGGUAAAUUUAAUCCUCGGCAUCUCCCGAAGAGGCCAAAUAGAUACAAAAUAGAGAUCCUCACCCGUCAAAAGUAGAAAAUAACUAAUUUCAGAGAAGAGUAGAAGGGUGUAAUGUUUUAGACAUAGGCAUUAGAAGGACAGGAUUAGAAAUUUAUAUAUUUCUGAGUCUGGACUCAGCUACCUUAGUCAAAAAACAACAUUUAAAUAUGCAACACCAGAUGCCGCUGUAGAGCAAAAAACAUUUUAUGUGAUUUUACAUAGAGUUUUUUCUUUUGUUAUAACGAUUUAAUUAAUGACUUAUUUAUAGUGUCGUCGUCCCCCCCCCCCCCCGUGUAUAGAUCCAGCCUCUGUCUCUUUAUGUGUGUCUCAUUUUCCUCUCUCUCUCUCUCUCUCUCUCUCAUAUAUCCUGUCUCUUUGAGAACAUGUGUGCAAGGCAAGAACAUGGUAUCUAGCAGAGCAGUCUAUCAUGGGAAAGGGGAUCUAUAAUGGGGCCAUUUUGUCCUUAAUUCAAUAAAGAAUUUAAGACUAAGCACUCUCAGAAUCCUCUUUCUAGGUGUGACGCACCUCCUGGCUUGAAGUGGUAUCUCUUUAUAUAUUUUUUAAAACCUCAACAGAAGACUGAGCUUCUAAUACUGUACAUCGUAACUCACCGGUGGGAUAGGAAAUAAAACAAAAGCCUAUAGGAAAUAAGUUGUGGAUUUGUAUAGCUAAGCAGCAUUCAGCUGGUUUAUAUUGUAAAUUUCCAAUGUUGUUUUAUCUCCUUGCUAUGUUCAUACACAGAUAUUACUUUUUUAUGUCCCCCAUACUUUAUUGUUUGCUUUUUUUCAUUACUAAAGAUUUCUGUGGAAGAUUUGAUAAAAUUCUCUGCUGCUUUUUUUUAUAAUAAAAUAUCUGCCUGUGGUUUUAAGAUUACAUUUAAUACUUAUUUCCUUGUGCUGUUUAUUGAAUAUAUCCAAACUCACUUGGAAGUGGGAAAAUGGAAGCAUUUGAUAUGAGAAAUCUCAUAGUAAGAGAGCACUCAAAACAUUGUAAAUAAAUAGGCCACACGGCCGAUCGCUUUGCUGUUGGCUCCAUAUUUGUAGUGUGUUAUACAGAUUGUCAUCGUUGAGUGUCAGAAUAUACCCCCCCCCCCGAUGCAGCUUUAAAAUCAUGUCACAGGCUCAAACGUUCACAUAGUGGGGCACAAUUUGAGCAGUGAUUUUUGCAGCUGAGAAGACAAUGCAGUGCAAAUGACCCAAAACAUUAUUGUGCGAUGUCAGUUGCCUUUGCAAAAGAAAUAUCCCCGGAGCACUGUACCCAUUGUUCAUGCAUUGUUAUUAAAACUAAAACUGAACGGAAGACUGCAACAAAUAAGUGCAUGCACGUGUGAGCGCACAUGCGCAGAGCUUGAAGGAAGUACACAGGCACAUCUGUCAGAAGUCCCAGUUCCCGUCUUGAUAACACAGCAAGCAUAGUUAAUUAAAAAGGAAGAUUUAAUACAAAAACAAACAGAGUUCUCCGGAUGGCUCUAACAAGCCACCAGUCUCAUCAAUCAUGAUGACCCUUCUGAAGACUCCUUCCGGUUACAGAAGAUACUGAACUUUUUCACUUUGCGCCUUUUGCCUUGUUCCAUGGUGCAUGGAAAGUACUAUACUGGAAAAGGUGCUAUGAACGGGAAUACUCAACACAGUGACAUUUUAUUUAAUGUCUCACUUCUUGCAAUCUAUUUUGCAUACCUCCUUUGAAAAAUGUGUGUCCUAGUUAAGCUAGGGUUGAUAUUUGAAAUGGAUGGUGGUGAUCAAUUUUUGUCCACCAACCUAAAUUCCAAUAUCUGAAUUUUCAAAGAGAGAUUCAUAGCCCUAAACAUUUUGCGAAUCUUUGUACUUUUGUCCAUUUAGUGUAUUUAUUUUUCCCAAUUUGAACUAUAAAAUGGUGAUUUUUCUUGAGUCAAAUGAGAGUACCCCUAAACAUUUUUUAGAAAAAAGCACUGACUCUAAUGAACUUUGGACAUGGAUGUUAGCUGCAGCUAGGAUUUCAAUAACCCAGCAAUGGAAAAUCUAGAGGCUCCAGAAUGCUUUUAUGUCAUCUGAUGGGGUCUUAUGUCAUCUGGUGGGGUCUUAUUUCCAUUUUUUUAAAAACUUUGCUGCUGAUUGCUCACCAUCCAUGCCAGUUCGGAAAAUAAGGAUUUCUUUAUUUAAGUUGAUGUGCCACCAUUUUCCCCCUCUUAUUACCUUUCAUCUAUUUCCUUUUUAUAUGGUACUAUGUAAAAUCCUGCUACCACACUUUUGGGUUGUUAGUAAUAGUCAUUAGGUUGCAAUGCAAUUUAGAAAGGACAAAAAUGAAGAGGAAGGGGAAAGCUGUCUUCAGCAUAACAGCAGAAAGGUCAAAUAUAAAUCUAACAAACAAAUGAUAGAGUAUUAUCUUAAAUAUGUGCAGCAGUGUUCAUUUUGAGGUCUCCGAUUUUACUCUUGAUAUCCCUCCUCACAGAAAUACCACAUACGGUACAUUUUCCAUGUCCUUCCCUUUUCACAAAAUUAUUAUCCUAAAUGUGUGUAGAAACAUAAGAAAGGCCUUGCUGCAGCCGACAAAAACUUCAUUUGGGUCAGAAUCACUCUUUUACUGUGGAUAACCAGAUGGCCAUGGGAAGCCCACAAGUUAAUAAUAAUAAUAAUAAUAAUAAUAAUAAUAAUAAUAAUAAUUUGUACCCCACCCAUUUUGCUGGGUUUCCUCAGCCACUCUGGGUGGCUCCCAACAGAAUGGUGGUGUUGAUGACGUUGUUGUUAUCAUUAUUAUUAUUAAAGCGAUAAAACAUCAAAGAUGAAAAAAUUCCCUAAACAGGGCUGCAACAGUACUCUUCCAUCUUCAGCUCCCCAGCAAAUGCAUUUCAAAAUUAUCAAAGGGGAAAUUAAAUUGUUGCAGAAAAUGGUUCCCUUAAACAAAAUAAGUGGGUCUGCCAAGGUCGGGCACCAAUUAACAAUUAACAACAACAACAAGGCCUAGAACUUGGGUCUCUUGUCAUCACUAUUUGCCUCAGUUCCUCAGACUUCACCCUGAUAAAAUUAGUUCAGGCAAGUGGAUCUUCCCUACAUGUUCCACUUGGAAGAAAGGGGGCAUCAAAUUCAAUCAGCUUCUCUAAGUCUCCUGCACUAAAUUUCAUUUUGAUACCUCAUUGUCCAACACUAACUGUUAUGGACAGUCUAAAAACAUAAGAAGAGCCUGCUGGGUCAGGCCAAUGGCCAAUCCAAAUGAGGAUCCACUUUUCACAGUGGCCAACCAAAUGUCUGCGGGAAACUUUAAAGCAGGAUCUGAGCACAAGAUCAUUUUCUUCCUUUUGUAGUUUCCAGCUGCUGGUCUUCAGAAGCAUUAUGAGCCUAACCAUCAUGGAUGGGAGCCAUUCAUAGCCUUUGCUGUCAUGACUUCAUUAAUUCUUUUUUAUGCAUGAAUUAGGCCCAAGUUUUGGGUUCAGCUUAGCAUUGUUCAUGCCUGUCAAUGAUGAGUAUUAAGUUUAGAAUGGAUGGUGCACCGAGUCAUCUAAGGAAUGAUAUAAAUACACCUAUGACAGAAAACAGAAUUUCCCUUCCUCCUGGAUUAUGCAGUGACGUCUAUAUGAGCGGAUUUUAAAUAUUCAAAUGUUUCUUUGAUUUACUGCUUUCUGAACUUUUUAAAAUGAAAUAUGAAUGUGCUUUUAUCUGUCACCCCAAUAGUGUCAACAUUUAUUUUUGAUAUUUAUUUACAUCAAUAUUUCUAUUCUUCCUUGGAUAACAUUUCACUGCCUUUUGUUGUUUAUAGACCCUUCUUUGAACAAGGAUUGCAUCUGUUGGAACUCACAAUAAGUUAUAUAUCAGGAUUGGACAUAAAACGAGUCCUCUCAAUCCUUCAGCCAUUAACUUUGUCUACAUCAGGCUUCCUCAACCUCGGCCCUUCAGAUUUCUUUUGGCCUACAACUCCCAUGAUCCCUAGCUAGCAGGACCAGUGGUCAGGGAUGAUGGGAAUUGUAGUCUCAAAACAUCUGGAGGACUGAGGUUGAGGAAACCUGGUCUAUACCUAUUUUCAUAUUGUUUCUUAUCUAAUACUGCUGCUCAACAUAUUUUGCAGCCAUACAGGGGAAACUCUAACUGGAGUUGGUGUAACAAGUAGGCCUGGAUUGAGUCUGGUGCCAUCAAGUAAUGACAGUAAUGCCAGCUUGGGAUCUGGUGGGUCUCUGGUUGAUUCAACACCUCCCCUGCCUAUGGAACACCCCAUUUGGGAAAAUUAUGUGGGGUACUGCCAAUGAGAAUUGUGUUUGUGGCUGAAAUAGAGAGUUCUUCGCAGGAGGUGUGAUGUUGGCAUCCCUCUACAGGUGGAGAGUGGUGGACCUGUUUUGGUCCACCCUGAGGGACAUGUGUGCCUCAUCCAGCCCUGCCUCUGAUGCAUAAUAGAGAAGAACUUUGAAUGCAGCUUAACACUGUUAGAUGCAAUUUCUUUUGAAAUACGUCUUAUUUUGAUUUCCUUCCAGCUAAUGCCAAAAUUAGUGUUUGCUCUCAUGUUUCGGGUUGUUUUUUUUGUUGUUGUUUCUAAAAUGUGUUCUGUUUUGCAAAGAAGAACUGUUUUGCUAAAGGCAUUACAGUAGAUAUUACAACUAAUAGUGAAAUGGCUUUCUUAUUAAUUCUGAGAUGUCCUCAUUACAUUUCCUGGAUAUUUAAAAGGCAGCGAGGGAUUUCAUUAUGCAGACGGAGCUUCUAGCUGCUCAGGUGAUGGUUCUUUGAAUUAGAUAUUUGAAUUUUGUUUGGGGAGUUGAAUAAUGUGUCUUACCCUUCUAAUUAUAUACCAAUAAAUCAAGCCUGGCAGAUUCUCAAUUCUUGUCAUGUCAGGAACAAUUCUGGAAAAUAUUAAGGGAGAAAGGCAAAUAUCUCGGCACUUCUUUAGUGAUUUAGAAAGAGUGAAAACAAGAUAUAAUUCCUCACUGCAUGUUUUUAUUAAUAUGUGUUUUUUUCUGUGCUGUUCACCAAUUUAGGACAUGAGAUUUGACUUUCACUUGUGCACUGUGCUGACAUAACCCUACCCAUCAGCAUCAUGGUAGCUGACUGCUGCCAAAUCCCAGACAACCUGUGAGCUGGAGUCUGCAAUCAUGUAUCCACUCCUACAGGAAGAUAUGGCCCUCUAGAUUGGUAUUGAAUGGCAACUUCGAUCAGUUCCAGCUAGUAAGGGAAAUGGUCAAGGAUGGAGGACGGUGGAGCCCAGCAACACCUAGAGGGACUCAGGUGUGGUUAUGUGGGAUGGAUAGUAGGAUAGAUUGAUUAAAUAUUAUCCUUCCUUCACUCACGCUAGUGAGUCAUGUAGCAAAGCAGAUUCCCCUCAAUACAGCAGGAAGCUAGUUUGCAGAUUCAUUCGAAUCUCUUUACUUAAGCAAUCCAGUCUGGCUUGAUGAGAAUGGAUUAUUCCUGGUGUCCCCUUUAAUCCCUCUUAAAAGAAUAAAGACAGAAGAGUCUUUCCUUAAAAGUAACAAGAAGUUUACUCACAUUCAGUUCUCACAGUAUGACCCCUGAAGGCAGACUUUAGCUUGUAGUUACACAACAUAGUGUAAGUUCAUCCCUUAUGGGGAUUGAGCCCAUGUACUGCUGGAAUACAUUAAGAGAACAGCAUCAAGAGAACAAAAUGGCUGCAGGAGAGCAACAUGGCAUCAAGAGAGAAAGAUGGCUGUGCUCUUUUAUGGAGUCAGCCAGGGUCACACCCAUCCCCCUGGUCACAUGCAGGGGGAGGACACUCCAGACCAGUGGAACAGGAAGCUAUACUGACUGGAGUAACAUCCCCAUGCCUGUGCCCACUCUAGGGAAACAAGGAAUGUUGUAUUUGACUGCUCCAAUGGAUUACAGCCCACAUCAGGUUCUCCACCUGUGCAUUCCUUGUGGGAUAAAUCAGCCUCGUAUAACCAACAUACUUCACUCUAAUUCAUGCAUGGAGGAGUUAAGACCAUAGAGCAAGUGUCCUGCCAAGGCUUAGCUAGAUCACUUCUCCUCAGCUUGGGAAGAAGGGUUACCAAGCACAUUGUCUUCUCCCUUCCACCAUGUGAAUUCUACCAGUGAGGAGGUCUAAGCUGGAUGCUGCAUAUGGUUUAAGCAAGCCAUAUUUGUGUUUCCAUGCAAAUAAUCCAGAAAUGUGUUUUGGAACCUAAGUUAUAGUGCCUAUCUUUUCUUGCUGUAUGGAAAAGGGCAUGGAUCUAAAAAGACACGAAUCUGACUACUGAAGAGGUUGUAAGUAAACAAUUUUAACUUACCAAACAGGUAACUAUUUAUAGGGGACUGGGGAACUUCGGAAGACUUUUAAAAUGUCCCCUUCUAACAGUCUAUAUUUCCAUGCUUUGCUUUGCUGCAUAUUUUACAAUUUUGAAUCUCUGUUGGAGGUCCCUGACCAAAGAGUACUUGCCCCUGAAACUGGAUAUAGGCAUCCAGGGAAUUCUUCUUUUAUUUUACCAUAUCUAUUUUAUCUUUUAACUCAAUACUUAAAUUCCUACACUCCUAGGAUGUGUGUGUGUGUUUGCUGCGCCAACCCGCAGUCAGGCAACAGGAUGCUGAAGACAGGACUUGUGAAUGCUGGAAAUUGAAACUGCCCCUUCCAUGUUAAUUUCACUUGGCAUCAAAGUUGCAUUUACUACUGAUUUCCUUCCUUUCUUUUUGGCCCCUGAUAUACCUUCAUCUGAGCCCGGUGUACACUGAUAUUAUAGUCAACAUUUUCUAUAUAAGAUUUGGCUUUGUAUAAUGUAAGGAAAUACUGUAUGUCUGAAAAGCAGGCCUCAAACCAACAAUACAAAGGCAACUUCUCCUUCACUUCAAUGGUGCAACAUGACUGUGAAAGUAAGUGCUCAUUGAUUUUACAAAAUGAACAAAAGCCAUUUAAAUAGCUUAGAUUGAGGUAGGCAGCUUGACAUUAAGAAAUGCCUCUAACUUAUUUCGCUUAAUACCAGGGGCAUCCUUCAAAUGUAUAAGUCAUGAAAACACAAGACAUCCAGAGAUCAAUAUGUAAUUGUUUACCAUCCUUGAAGGACUGAAGAAUUAAUUUAAUGGUGAAUGUUAACAUAACGUCAAUUGAUUCCGUGAAGAAAUAUUAGAAGGAUUUGUGAACUAUAGUAACAGAGUUGCACAUUUUGGACCACAAGAUUUUGGGUGGGUGUUUGUUUUUUGUUUUUUGUUUGCUGUGUGUGUGUUUUAAAUCCCCCUUUUUAUAUAUCUAUGACUAGCCAUAACAAUAAAGCUUUAUCCAAACUCUUCUAGUCUCCCUUGAAAUUACUCAGAUGUUUCACCUGAUGAAGAACCUGUAAAGUCUGCAAAAUUUCAUUGGCAACUUGUAAUAGGCAGUUGUGGAAUGCAGUUUAAUAUAAGAAUCUUGAAUGUGGUGCUAAAACAGGUGUUAGCUUGAGAAGAAAUUAAGUAAACUGAUACUUUUGGCGGUUUUCACAGGAUCUACUACAGAAAAUUACACAAAGAGGUAACUUAGCCCACAAGACCAUAUUCUGUUAUCUUUCACUGUUUGUGCUCCACUUCCUAGUCCUGUCAUGCAAAUGUUUGCAUGUCCCAUUAAAGAGGCAGAAGCAUUUGCAUGGUCUUCAUGUACUCUGCCAUUUUCUGCCUAUUGUCCUGUCUUUCUCAUACCUCCAUUGUAAUGGUUAUACAGCAAACUAAAGUUGGUGACCCUGAACCUAUGAAAAGGUGAGUAGCAAAUAAAAUCCACACGUCUCCUUUCUCAUACAUUCUCAUGUUUUGUGUAUGUCAAGUGGGUGUUCAUGUUCACAAAAACAAGUGUGAGAGAAACCAAUGACCUAUAAUCUGGAAGCUAAGUUCUCUCUACUGAUGUGUUAAGUCUGCUUACAUUAUUUGGUGGGUGGCAUUGUGACUGGGCCCCAAGCCUUGUGUAACCCAGCCGAGGGUUGGAGAAGAAGAAGAAGAAGAGCAGUUUGGAUUUGAUAUCCUGCUUUAUCACUACCCAAAGGAGUCUUAAAGCGGCUAACAUUCUCCUUUCCCUUCCUCCCCCACAACAAACACUCUGUGAGGUGAGUGGGGCUAAGAGUCUUUGGAGAGGUGUGACUAGCCCAAGGUCACCCAGCAGCUGCAUGUGGAGGAGCGGAGACGCGAACCUGGUUCCCGAGAUUACGAGACUACUGCUCUUACCCACUACACCACACUGGCUCUCGAGCCGAGGGUUGGAGACUGGCGUGCUUCCCACUGUCACCUCCCUGCACUGUCGGCGCUGGGCGGGGCCCUUGCCAACCAAUCAGUGCCAACAGAGGGGUGGUCUGCAGGGAAUUUAACCUCCAGUGCAGAAGGGAGGCCAUACUCUCACACUGUUCAUCAGAACUCCCACACUCCUUACCCUUUUUUCUGCUUUGCUGCGUUACAACCUUUCUAUGGACUAAUCGUCUGUUGCCAUAUUGUUGGGACUGGGCAGGAUUUUUUUUCCCUUGGCAACUUGGCUCCACCAUUUGGUUUUCACCUACCUCAUAGCAAUCGCCACAACUUUGUGAGGUUAGACAUUGUGGAAGCCUUUGUUUGGAUGGAGGAGAGUUUGUAGUCUCCACCUGCCCCUCCUCAUUAAAGGUAUCCUGUUAAAGGGAUCCGGGGUUGUGGACCCUGUCCGAUGCCCGGACUUGGGCUAGGGCCAUGGCAUAACCCUAAUGGGAACCCCUCAGGGUGCCCCUAUUUGAUGUAAGGAUCUUAGGGCGGCUCCUAUUGGUGGUUUACCCUUAGUUGGACUCCCAGCAGGUGGGCAGGAGUCAAGAUAUAGCCAGGCUUCACCCAAUGUCUAAGCCAAACUGCUCACAUCUGUAACCAAUAAAGUUGUGGCCCAUUUGAACCCAUAAACUAAAAUCUGCUUGUUUGUGUGUUUUAUUUAUCCACCAGGGGACCACAGGUCACAGGGCCUUGGCACGCAAAUGUAACACAGCAAGCAGCUCACAAAUAAUCAGGUUCUGAGUCUGUUCAGGUGAUCACCUUUCACAUGGUUAGAGCUGUAUGAAGGUGAGAGUGGUAUAUGAUCAUUGGCCUUAACCCGUCCAUCACAUUCCUGUCAUUUGGCUCAAUCACCUCUGUCGGGUGUCAGAGGGGUAACAUCUUCUGCAGGUAGGUUGUUCCACUUGCGUACAUUUCCUCCAUGGUGUAGAUUGUGCGGGCUUCUGAAUUGUGUGGGGAGUCUCCAUGAGCAGGCUGCCUGCUGUAGACAUUGCUCCUCCAAGAUAUGGAAGGUGUAAGGCUUCGGGGAAGUAUCUUCCUCACUUCCUUUGGCCAUGGAUCAGCAGAACAAAACAAAAAUAGUCUCCUACUAGUUAAAGAGAAUUUAAUGUUCACAGCGAAAGAACAAAGAAUCAAUUCUUGGAAGAAAGGUGCUCCCGAUUAAGGUUUCCACCCACUUCCCCCUGAGCCACCCCCAUCACUUCCUCGUCUGGCAACCUGAUCUCUCAUCCAUUUGGCCUUCUGUGUAGCUACCAUAUCUGCUCUCCUUGACCUUGGACUGAGCGUUUGGACACGUUCCAGCAAAAGGGAGCCUGUUAAUUCUCUCUCUCCCUGUUCUUCUCCUAGCUGUUCCCCACUCAUUUUUGCCCAACUGUUGUCUUCUGAACUAUGUCCCCCUGCAAGCCACUGCUCCAAAUCUAUACAGCUCCACUUCUCCUGGGCAACUUCAGGAUCCUGGUCAGGAGCAGGGGUAGGGGUAGGCCUCAUCAGAGGCCUCAUCAGAGUAGCUCUUCUCAACCUGGUCUCUGACACAUAGGGAGAGGAACUAAUGAGUGCGCAUUCUCGCUCACACCUUCUGUUUGCAAAGGGUAAAAUGCCUGAGUGCAGCUCUGUAUGAACAUGAGUUGGAACAUUGUAUGAGUUGGAAAAUUGGUUCAUUUAGUCCAUUGCUAGCUGUACUGACUGACAGCAGAGAACAGUUCUAGCCUUUCUACCGGAGAUCAUUUUAAUUGGAAACGCCAAAGACUGGAUGCAGAAAUGUGCAUUUGCUCUGCCUGAACCGGAUCCUUCCCUGACAAAUCAUGCAAUUUCAUUUGAUUUUUGUAACUCUGUUCAGCUGGGUUGUUUCCAAUCAGAAAUGUCAUGGCCUCUUGUAAAUAGUGGAAUUAACUAAUGCCAUGGGCAUCCUGAGGUCCGGAUGAAAAGUUGACAUUGUAAGCCAACUGUGAUCUAGCCACUAUGUUCAUCUAUAUUUCAGGGGGAGGGUAGAAUUUUAAAAUUACUUUGUGAGCUAUAAAUUCAAGGUAUUACUCACCAAAGUGAAAUCUGAGAACUUCUAAAAAAAGUGGAAAUGGCCUGGCAAAACGAAGCUUUUAUUGAAAAGGGAGAUGUACGACCAAGAUAUUCAUUAACAGGGUGAGGUUUUAUGGAGAAGAAAUAAUGUAGGAUCAGAGGGCUGGAAAGCCAAUUAGAGAAUCCAAGGGUGAAAAGCCAAACCUUGAAGAAAGAAGUGAUAAUCUUAGUCAGCUAGAGAAAGGAUUAGCAUGGAGAGGUGAUAAUAACAGUUUUGUGGCUGAGAAGGGGAAAAAAUCUGAACUGAAAAGUGAAGCUCAGAAAAAGGUGGGGGGGAGAAAGAUUGGGGGGAAAGUUAGAUUGUAUUCAGUUUUAAUUACUGAAUUACUGGGGUGUUCAGAACCCUUUCCUACUUUUCUAUCUGCUCAAUUCAUCAUAAUUUUCUCGGAAGGAGAGUUUGCAGCUGAGAAGUGGUGCCUCAGAUUCAGCCUUUGAGCCUGCAAUCAUAUACUUCAGAGUAAGCCCAAUUGAACUCAAUGAGUUUUAUUUCUGAGUACUCGCGUCCAGGAUUGCACUGUAUGGCAUUUAUCUCUGUCCGAUUUAAGGACAGCAGGAAUCCCAUUCUAAGCUCACUUAUCUAUUUUCCCCUCACUUAAUAUGUGCAUCGAAGCAAGGAAAAUGUGGUUUUGUGAUUAAAAGUAGGAAGCUUUGUCCCAGAGAGGGUUUUUUGUUCUAAUCCUGUCAUCUUUUUUAAGGGCUGUGGCAGAGUGGUAGAUGCCAGGUUUUGCAUGAAGAAAAUCGAAGGUUCAUUUCUUGGCUCCUUCAGUGCAUAUAACAAGGCUGAGAGAGUCAACUAUCUGAGGCAAUGAAGAACUGUUGCCAGUCAGAGUAUGCAUCCUAGAUCCAGGUGCAUUCAGAAUCAGACAGCUUCAUGUACAGGUCAGUCUCAAUGCGUGAGUUAUAAAAACUGUACAGAUGUUCAUGCUAGGACGUUUGUAAUGAUGAUAGCUACAUCCUCUAUUUCAACAUACUUUGGUGCACAAGUUGACCUAGAGAAGAAAUGUACUCAAUAUCUACAAGCUAAAAACAUAACAGAGCCAGUUGGUUGUCUCUGUGCCCAAUCACAGAACCUGCCAAUUUUUCCUCAGCCCCACAAUUUUGGCGGCGAAUUUCCCCCCUCAUUAACAGCAUUGUCAAACUGUAAAUAGCCAGUGUGGUUCAGUUUUUGCAUUCUGCUUGUAUUCUAAUCGAUUCACCCAUUUGCUUUCCAGAAUGUACGGUAGUACCAGCGUUGUGCAAUAUGUAGAUAUCUGUGCACAGUGUUGGCGUCUAAUUAAAGCCAUCUCAAAGGAGGUAGAUUUAAAAAUGUCUCGUUCCAUGUUCUCCAAAUUGCCAGUUGCUCCUCCACAAAAUAAAAUGUCCAGAAGUGGCUUGAAAUUAGUACGUUAAUCGCUUUUGGAUUGUCUACCUAGUGGUGUGGCUCGGUAGGCACUUGUAUUGGAAAGAUGUUUUGUCUUGCUGAGUUCCACCCAUGAAGAGUAUGUGGGCGAAAUCUUCAUUGAUUUUUGUUGGGCAUUAAGGAUUCAUAGGACAUUGGAAAUAACUCUCAGCAAUAUGCAGGUUUAGGCUCUUAAUUAAUCAGCACUUCCCCUAGGGCUUCUAGAUAUAAUUGUAUAUUGUGGUAGUUGAAGACGGGUUGAAUUGCACAUAUCAAGCAUUGAAUUCAUAAACCGUAGUCAUAAAGAAGCUGUGCUUCAGUAGCUGGGUUUUAUUAAAUAUAGUAAAUAUGCUGGAAUAGCUGGGACAAUGGCUUGAUCCAGCACGCUCUUCUUCUGCUUUUAAGUUACAAUUAUGUUACAAAUGUUUUAAAAUGUUUUAAAUGGUUCUAAUUUGGGUUCCUCUGUUUCCUUUUUGUCAGGCUGGUGUUGGUUAAAUGUUUAAUUGGGGUUGGCGGUUACUUUAAUUUGGGUAUACAGUGGAACCUUGGGUUGCAAACGUGAUCUGUGCGGGAGGCACGUUCACAACCCACAGCGCUGCGUCUGCGCACACCUGGGUCGCGAUUCAGUGCUUCUGUGCUUGCGCAAAGUGUGAUUUAGCAUUUCUGCACAUGUGUGAGUGCCAGAACCAAGAGGUAACCCGUUUCAGUACUUCUGGGUUCGGUGCGGUGCGCAACCCAAAAACGCGUAACCUGAAGCGUUUGUAACCUGAGGUACCAAUGUAACUGUAAACUGUUGUUACUGUUCUUAUUGUUGUUGCUAUUGGUUUCUAUUGAUUUAUUGGUUUGUUGCUUGUAUAGGAUCUUUUGUUUUUAAUGUUUGAUGUUUGGUUUUUUAAAACAGUGGUACCUCGGCUUUUGAACGUAAUCCGUUCUGGAAGACAGUUCGAGUUCCGAAACGUUCAAAAACCAAAAACUCAAUACGGAAAACUCAAUAUGGAAGCCGCGUUUCCUGUUCAACUUUCGAAGCAUGUUCGAAAAACGAAGCAUUUACUUCCAGGUUUACAGCAUUUGAAAGCCGAAGUGUUCGUCAACGGAGACAUUCGAAAACUGAGGUACCACUGUAUAUGUUGCAAGCCGCCCAGAGUGUCUGGGGAAACCCAGCCAGAUGGGCGGGAUUUAAAUUAAAAUUUAUUUAUUUAUUAUUUUUACAAGUGUUAAUUCAUGGCAACAAUAUUGGGCACCAGUUGUUCCUGGCAGUGUAUUUUUCUUUCCAGACUGAUGCCGACUCUGCACAUGAUCCAGCCAAUGUUAAGCGCCUUCAAGCCAUUUUGCUUUUCAGUGCCAGAAAUUUAAGCACCUGUUUAGCUCUCCAACCAUUUGGAGUACUUGUCCAACUGGUACAUAGCUCAGAUUUGUGGGCCCUGAGCUGAUGUGUUCCUGAUGGUCCAGAGUACAUUUUUGAGGCAUGGCUUCCAAGUAUACCCAAGUUUUGCUUUUUUGCAAAAGCUCAUCUUUUAAGAAAGUUAAAUACUGGCUAAGAAUUUAGAUUUUACACAACAUGCAACUUUAUAUGAGCACUCUUUUAAAGAUACCAUAAAAUAAUUUGCUUGUCCUUGGUUUGCUUAGUGAUAAUAAUUAUUAUUUUAAUAAUAAUUUUAUUAUUUAUACUCCUCCUAUCUGGCUGGGUUUCCCCAGUCACUCUGUGGGCAGCUUCCAGUGACCAAUGCAUUCUGUACAUUUCAUUCAAAACCUGAAAGUAACACUGAAAUAGCUUGUCACAUAGCAGUAAACCUGUUUCUGGUCUGUGCUAUUGGAGAUUUUUCCUUCCUGUCUUCUGCAUGGUCUUUUCAGUUCUGUACGCUGAAAACUGAUGAACCUAAGUUAAACAUGCCCAUUAAUAUCAAUGGGCUUACUCCAAGUAUGAUUAACCUUGGAUAUAUCCCAGAGGCUUGAAUCUUUUACCUGGAAAAGUGGAGCGAAUUGCUUUAAUCUCUCUGCUUUCUUACAGGCCGGGCAGGGCAGAAUGGAGCACCUCUCCUUUUACUUGACACUUUAAUGAAGCAUCAGCUGAGAGGACAAAGGGCUUGCCCUGCCUGUAAAAUACCUGGAACAGACAAACCUGCAAGCAAGGUUUUCUGGAAUCCUGCCAUCAAAAACACGAUACCCUGGUUCAUCAGAGGUCGGAAUCUUUAAAUUUUAUAUGCAGUAUAUGAGGCUUCUGUUGUAGAUGGGUCAACCGUAGCAUAAAGAUAGUUUAAAUGAAGCAAAGAAAAUGUAAUCCAUGUGAACUGUACUGGCACUGGGCUGGAUAUUUUGUCUUAUUUUACUAUCAGUGCUUUGACUAAACAAUUUAGUCUUAGCAAUGGUGCAAUGCCAAUUUUAAAUGCCCAGCAGACUUUGGAUAUGAAUGCUCUUCUCGGCCCCAAAGAGAAAAAGCUUAAAACUGCCGUAACCGAUGAGUGUCUAGCAAAAUUAUAAGUAAUACAUUCUGUUAUCCAAAGUGAACUCAGGUUGAAGCUUUGCUUUGGGUAGCAAGGCAGAAUAUCACUGAAUGCCUGUUACCCGCACCACUCCUUGUUUGAUAAAUUUCUCUGUUCCCAUCAUAUUUGCUCUAGUAAUCAAAAUAAUAAAGUUUCCUUCUCUCUUCUACUUGGCUGGAUCCAAUUGGAGUUGCAACAUCUGAAUCAUUAAGUAGUAGCCAAAGUGAAAUAUGUUUAUAAGGCUUUUUUAUUAUUAUUCAGGUAUUAACUAAUGGAUGCACACCAUCAAGCCGCAUUAUCUUAUUUCUGCAGCAAAUUGUUUAGGGGGGCUAGGGUGCUUCAUGCUCAGCUCAGCAUUGACGGAAUGUAAUGCAAUUCAGAAUAAUGAAGAACCUGGAAUGGGAAGCAGAGUCACUUAGAAAUGUUACGGGAGAAGCAGCAAUGCUAAUGCGUGGCUUUUUCAUUUGCUUCCGAAAGGCAGCUGAGGGAGGAUAUAUCCUGAUGCGGCUCUAUUAAUGUAGAACAUUUUCUCUUGAUCUGUAACUACUUCUUAAAAAUAGAAAAAGGCAAAAUGGAAACUUCAACAGUUAUCGCAGAACACAAAGAGCCUCCAUUCAUCUUUUGAUAGAAGUAAUGAGCAGCAGGCAGCCGUUAGUCAUCCGCUGCAGAUUUCCAGUGGAGAGACUCUGAUAAUUUGAUUGCUCAUUUUGAAAUAGAAUUUCUCCCUCUGUCCCUGGAAGGUUUUUCUUUUCUGUGGCAGCUUUGAUAGGUAGUUGGUUUCACAGGAAGGAAAUGAAUAAUGACUCACAGAAGCCUCCUUGUCAGGCUUGCCAUGUUUCCAGUCUCCCCUAGAGUCAUCCAGAGAAUUAGAAGCCCAAACCUGCAUACCUGCAGGACACUAAGAAAGCAAAGAAGAAGGAGCUCAAUGUGCUCCACCUGAGUUACUUUCAGGCCUCGGAGUGGGGGUGGUUGGUCUCUAGUUUGUAGUAACAGAUGUAGCCUCAAGAAGCUGCAUAAGCCAGAAAUGUGAAACACCCCAAUGUUGUUGGCCUUACCCAAACUCCUCUGACUUCCCUUAAAACUACAGUGGUACCUUGGUUCUCAAACUUAAUCUGUUCCAGAAGUCCAUUCCAAAACCAAAGUGUUCCAAAACCAAGGUGCACUUUCCCAUAGAAUGUAAUGCACAACGGAUUAAUCCAUUCCAGACUUUUAAAAACAACCCCUAAAACAGCAAUUUAACAUGAAUUUUACUAUCUAACGAGACCAUUGAUCCAUAAAAUGAAAGCAAUAGUCAAUGUACUGUACUAUAAAAUAAAUAAGACAGUAUUGUAGAUGAUAAAAAAUAAAAUUAAUUCUUUUCCUUACCUGCACUGAUGAUAGUCAUUGUUUGGAUAUGGGGCUUUUAUCCACUUCUGCAGUCACACAAUCCAUCCAUCCAUCCAUCCAUCCAUCCAUCAAUCAGUAGCUGAACUGGGUUCCACACAAUCACAAAAACAAAUUAACCAGAAAAGCAAAAAAUGCAAAAUAAAUAGCAAAAACAAAAGCCCCAAACUUAAUACGUUCCAGAACUUCUGAAAUGUUCGAAAACCAAGGUGUGGCAUCUGAUUGGUGCAGGUGCCCCAGAAACAAUAGCCAACAGCCGCAUCGGAUGUUCGGCUUCCAAAAAUUGUUCAAAAACUAGAACACUUACUUCCAAGUUUUCUGCUUUUGGGAACCAAGGCGUUUGAAAGUCAAGGUACCACUGUACUCAAAAGCUUUUCCUAAGCAGGAAGCUCAAAACUCACCUCUUCCUCAAAUCCCACUUUGAGUAACAUUUUAGUGGCAAUCUACAGCAGCAUAACAUAGUUGCUCACAUGACUGAAACAUUGAAACUCCCUUGAGCAUGUUUCUAAAGGUAUUUAUAUUUUUUUGUUUCAGGUCAAAUUUAGUAGCAACUAUGAAGGCCACUGUCAUCACUUCCGACCAUCCCUUACAUAGAUACUUGGUCAGGAAAAGAGCAGUAACUUUGUGGUCAAACCCAUGUCCCAGAUUCCAUCUCUCU